ACCGCUUACGAAAACAGACACAAAGAUCUUUAACCAAAGUGCGUCCAAUCACCUCGCCUUCGUCUGUCCGGGCUGCUGUGGCAGGAUACCACAGACUGAGCGGCUUAAACAACAAGCGUGCAUUUCUCACAGUUCCGGAGGCUGGGAAGUCCAAGAUCAAAGUGCCAGCAGAUUGGGCGUGUGUGGAGGGCCGCUGCCUGGUUCACAGGAGGUCGGCUUCUUGCUGUGUCCUCAGGUGAUGAAGGGAUGAGAGAGCUCUCUGGGGUCUCUUUGAUAAGGGCACUAAUCCUAGUCCUGAGGGCUCCACCUGCCCGCCCUCAUCACCUUCUGAAGGCCCCACCUCCUGAGACCAUCACACUGGGGAUCAGGAUUUCAACAUCUGGAUUUCCGGGGAGACACAGACAUUCAGGCUAUAGCACACGUCUCAUCAGAGCCAGCGUCCCUGUCCUGUUCAAACAGAGGAUCCAAGCUCCGACUGAGGAACAGGAGGGGAAAGAACAAACCGCUCCUCCAACCCACUGUGGAGGCCUUCUCUACUCAAUUCCUGAACCUUACACAGCUCUGUAAUUUUGUUUUUUGUCUGAAAGGAUUCGGCUGGUGAUGAAAACAGCCCAUCUUGUCUAAGAGGAGGGACUGGAAAAUAAUGACAAUAGACCCCAGUUGUCCUUGCUUCAACCCAGUGCUUCCUUUACCUCUUUUCCUCUUCUUUUACUUCCCCCAACUCUUUUGUUACCUCUCCCCACUCCCAAAACUUGACAGACAAGAGAAACGAAAACAGCUCUCCAAAAACUGUUCUGACAGCUGCUGGAAUGAGCUUGCACUAAGCAUCCGAGCAAGAGAGGAAAAAGCGGAACAAAUUCCCAACUCUUCCAACCUAACAUUUGUAGAAGCUAAAGAAACUGCGACCUGGGAAAUCCGGCGGUCACACCCCUCUCUCUUCUUUCCCAGAAAAAGUGCAGUUCUGUUUCAGCUCAGAGGUGAUCCACAUCAGCUGAUAAAGCCUUUAACCUCUAUUGGAAUCAUUUUAGCUACAUUUUUUUCUAGACAAGUUGGGCCACUAACUUGACCGCAAUUUUCUAGCAGCCAAAGCAAAGAGUGCCCCAGGAUCGCUUGUGUAAACUACAGUCCCCAGUGGGUCAACAGGAACCAUUUUCUCAAGGCCAGCAGCAGUGUUGGCGGCAAUGAGAUUCAAGGGAAAUCUGUCCCUUGAGUCAUCCUAGGGUUCAUAUUACACAGACACCCUCAGCAGACCUCUCUAAGUAGCAGUUUGCUUUCUCAUCUGUUAAAGGGGGGAAUUAGAGUAACCUACCUGAUCAGGUUUCUGUCCUGAAUGAGACCACCGUCCAUAUAAAGGACCUGGCAGAGUGCCUGGCACACAGUACGUCCGCAAUAAAUCUUAGCCUCGUGACUUUGUAACAGGUAAGAGCACAAGCCGUGCAAUCCUGAUUUCAGGGCGAGUACAGCAUUUCCCUACAUCCUUACAAUGCAAACAGAGGGGGCCUGUGCCAAGAUAACACAACCCAAGAUGCCAUCAGGAAGCACACACAGGGAAAACUACGAUCUGCUGUCUGGAAAAGAUAUAUCACGGGACACUCACUGAACUGACGAAAGGGACUCAAAUUUCUAGAGGUGGCUCUUCAGUGAUGCUGCGGUCCGGGCGCUUAUCUGACUAUUCAGUUGGGAUACAGUCUACUCUAUUCAACAAGGAGCAAAAAUACAU
ensembl:lncRNA